rnacentral:rRNA from 1 species
AUGAAGAAACAUUGUGCAUGCAAGAUUUGUGGAGAAAUGGGACACACCCAUGAAGAACACAAGGGUGAAUGCCCUCAUUGUGAAGAGAGUCACCCAGCUGAAGAAUGCCCAACUAGGCAGAUUACUUGUUUCUUGUGUGAAGGGCCUACCCACUACCUUGCUCAGUGUCACAUUUACCCCAUGGUACAACGAACCAUCCAGCAGAAGAAAGAAGCAAUGAAAGAAGCCCUCAUGGAAAUUUUAGAAGAACCAAUGAUGAAGGAAGAGGUGGAGGACACACCCAAAGAAGACCCAAUUAAAACAUGCACUAAGUCAUGCUAUUCAUGUGGAGAAGAAGGACACAUCUCCCAAAAUUGUCUGAAUGGGGAUCUAGUAGAAUUCUCGAUAGAGGAAGUAGAGUAUGACCUACAGGAAAUAGAAGCCCGGAUUGGCACAGAAAAGUCCAGGAAGAGAAGUAGAUUGGAUACCAGGAAGGACCUGACUCAUAUCACCUAUUUCAGGUGCAAGGAGUCAGGGCACUACUUCAGCAGUUGCCCAAAAAGGAAACCUCGAGACUUGUCAGAAGUAAUAUGUUUUCGUUGUAAUGAAGCAGGGCACCUUGCCGGAGAUUGUCCCAAGGAGAAAGAGACUUGUGAUAAUUAG